rnacentral:rRNA from 1 species
GCGCCAGACUCCUACGGGAGGCAGCAGUGGGGAAUAUUGCACAAUGGGGGAAACCCUGAUGCAGCGACGCCGCGUGAGCGAUGAAGUAUUUCGGUAUGUAAAGCUCUAUCAGCAGGGAAGAAGAUGACGGUACCUGACUAAGAAGCCCCGGCUAACUACGUGCCAGCAGCCGCGGUAAUACGUAGGGGGCAAGCGUUAUCCGGAUUUACUGGGUGUAAAGGGAGCGUAGACGGCGAUGCAAGCCAGAUGUGAAAGCCCGGGGCUCAACCCCGGGACUGCAUUUGGAACUGUGUGGCUGGAGUGUCGGAGAGGCAGGCGGAAUUCCUGGUGUAGCGGUGAAAUGCGUAGAUAUCAGGAGGAACACCGGCGGCGAAGGCGGCCUGCUGGACCGCGACUGACGUUGAGGCUCGAAAGCGUGGGGAGCGAACAGGAUUAGAUACCCGAGUA